AGAGUUUGAUCCUGGCUCAGGACGAACGCUGGCGGCGUGCCUAAUACAUGCAAGUCGAGCGGACAGAAGGGAGCUUGCUCCCGGAUGUUAGCGGCGGACGGGUGAGUAACACGUGGGUAACCUGCCUGUAAGACUGGGAUAACUCCGGGAAACCGGAGCUAAUACCGGAUAGUUCCUUGAACCGCAUGGUUCAAGGAUGAAAGACGGUUUCGGCUGUCACUUACAGAUGGACCCGCGGCGCAUUAGCUAGUUGGUGGGGUAAUGGCUCACCAAGGCGACGAUGCGUAGCCGACCUGAGAGGGUGAUCGGCCACACUGGGACUGAGACACGGCCCAGACUCCUACGGGAGGCAGCAGUAGGGAAUCUUCCGCAAUGGACGAAAGUCUGACGGAGCAACGCCGCGUGAGUGAUGAAGGUUUUCGGAUCGUAAAGCUCUGUUGUUAGGGAAGAACAAGUGCGAGAGUAACUGCUCGCACCUGACGGUACCUAA
rnacentral:rRNA from 1 species